UUCCGGUUGAUCCUGCCGGAGGCCAUUGCUAUUGGGAUUCGAUUUAGCCAUGCUAGUCGCACGAGUUCAGACUCGUGGCGAAUAGCUCAGUAACACGUGGCCAAACUACCCUUCGGAACACAAUACCCUCGGGAAACUGAGGCUAAUAGUGUAUACCACAGUCCACCUGGAAUGAGGACUGUGCCAAACGCUCCGGCGCCGAAGGAUGUGGCUGCGGCCGAUUAGGUAGACGGUGGGGUAACGGCCCACCGUGCCAAUAAUCGGUACGGGUCAUGAGAGUGAGAACCCGGAGACGGAAUCUGAGACAAGAUUCCGGGCCCUACGGGGCGCAGCAGGCGCGAAACCUUUACACUGCACGACAGUGCGAUAAGGGAAUCCCAAGUGCGUAGGCAUAGAGCCUACGCUUUUGUCCACCGUAGGGAGGUGGACGAAUAAGGGCUGGGCAAGACCGGUGCCAGCCGCCGCGGUAAUACCGGCAGCCCGAGUGAUGGCCGAUCUUAUUGGGCCUAAAGCGUCCGUAGCUGGCCGCGCAAGUCUAUCGGAAAAUCCACCCGCUCAACGGGUGGGCGUCCGGUAGAAACUGUGUGGCUUGGGACCGGAAGGCGCGACGGGUACGUCCGGGGUAGGAGUGAAAUCCUGUAAUCCUGGACGGACCGCCGAUGGCGAAAGCACGUCGCGAAGACGGAUCCGACAGUGAGGGACGAAAGCUAGGGUCUCGAACCGGAUUAGAUACCCGGGUAGUCCUAGCCGUAAACAAUGCCUGUUAGGUGUGGCUCCCACUACGAGUGGGUGCUGUGCCGUAGGGAAGCCGCUAAACAGGCCGCCUGGGAAGUACGUCCGCAAGGAUGAAACUUAAAGGAAUUGGCGGGGGAGCACUACAACCGGAGGAGCCUGCGGUUUAAUUGGAUUCAACGCCGGG
rnacentral:rRNA from 1 species